CUAGUGCUCAGAGUCCGUAUAGAACCGAGCGGUCGGAAGUUCGAGCCGAGCGAAGCGAGACAACGUUGCUUUAGCAACGGCCCGUAGGGCGAGGCGUUAGCCGAGUCAUCUUCCUGGGUGCACCA
rnacentral:sRNA from 1 species